GAAAGCCACAAAAGUGUCGAAAAAGACAACCAAGACGUUGAUAAAGGUUUUUCAUUUAAAAUGUUGCAGGUCAACACGAGGGUUGACGGUUUGCGGCGUUGCUAUUGGCCGUCGUAGCCGGGUUAACUUCCACAUCAAUUCAGAGUUCAUAAGUGAAAUUCAGUUAAAAGAUGUCUGAUAUAAUGUUUGUCCGCUCUGGCAUUAUGAUGUUGUUUUAUAUUUCCCAUCAGUGUGAUUUAU